AACGAACGCUGGCGGCAGGCUUAACACAUGCAAGUCGAGCGCCCCGCAAGGGGAGCGGCAGACGGGUGAGUAACGCGUGGGAAUCUACCCAUCUCUACGGAAUAACUCAGGGAAACUUGUGCUAAUACCGUAUACGCCCUUUGGGGGAAAGAUUUAUCGGAGAUGGAUGAGCCCGCGUUGGAUUAGCUAGUUGGUGGGGUAAAGGCCUACCAAGGCGACGAUCCAUAGCUGGUCUGAGAGGAUGAUCAGCCACAUUGGGACUGAGACACGGCCCAAACUCCUACGGGAGGCAGCUGUGGGGAAUAUUGGACAAUGGGCGCAAGCCUGAUCCAGCCAUGCCGCGUGAGUGAUGAAGGUCUUAGGAUUGUAAAGCUCUUUCAACGGUGAAGAUAAUGACGGUAGCCGUAGAAGAAGCCCCGGCUAACUUCGUGCCAGCCGCCGCCGUAA
rnacentral:rRNA from 1 species